rnacentral:rRNA from 1 species
CCUACGGGGCGCACCAGUGGGGAAUAUUGCACAAUGGGCGCAAGCCUGAUGCAGCCAUGCCGCGUGUGUGAAGAAGGCCUUCGGGUUGUAAAGCACUUUCAGCGGGAGGAAGGCGAUAAGGUUAAUAACCUUGUCGAUUGACGUUACCCGCAAAAGAAGCACCGGCUAACUCCGUGCCAGCAGCCGCGGUAAUACGGAGGGUGCGAGCGUUAAUCGGAAUUACUGGGCGUAAAGCGCACGCAGGCGGUCUGUCAAGUCGGAUGUGAAAUCCCCGGGCUCAACCUGGGAACUGCAUUCGAAACUGGCAGGCUAGAGUCUUGUAGAGGGGGGUAGAAUUCCAGGUGUAGCGGUGAAAUGCGUAGAGAUCUGGAGGAAUACCGGUGGCGAAGGCGGCCCCCUGGACAAAGACUGACGCUCAGGUGCGAAAGCGUGGGGAGCAAACAGGAUUAGAUACCCCUGUAGUC